rnacentral:piRNA from 1 species
UGCAGUCACAACUGUGAUUUCUCUCA